AGGGGGUCCAGAUGAGGUUAUGGGGUCAGGGCAUGGCUAGGGGAUCAGGGCAGGGGGUCCAUUCAGGAUUAGGGGGUCAGGACAGGAUUAGGGGGUCAGGACAGGUUCAGGGAGUCAGAGGAGGGGAUCCAGGCAGGGUUAUGGGGUCAGGACAGGGGGUCCAGGUGGGGUUAUAGGGUCAGGACAGGUUUAGGGGGUCUAGACAGGGUUAUGGGGUCAGAACAGGGUUCCAGACAGGGUUAUGGGGUCAGGACAGGUUUAGGGGUCAGGACAGGGGGUCACAGGGUCAGGACAGGGUCCAGGCAGGGGACUGGGGGCAGCGACCCCACACAUUGAGCAGAGCAGGGACCCCCUCCCCCAGCUCCCCCUCACACUGAGGGGACCCCCACCCUCCUCAGCACCUCCCAGCACAGGGGUGACCAGAAACAUUUAAUGGGUUUUGUGUAAAAAACAGUACAAAAGGUACAAAACCAGGGCAGGGGCAGCCCCGGGGGGUUUGGCUGCUCCAUGGGACCCCCGCGGCCAGGGGAGGUGACAGUGACAACACAGGGGACACUGGCAGUGUCCAGGGCUCAGAAAUCUCCUUGAAGAUCUGCAAAAAAUGAGAAAUGGGGAGGUUUUUCCAGAGAAAACAAAGAUGUCACAGCAACAGC